rnacentral:rRNA from 1 species
GAAUAUUGGACAAUGGGCGCAAGCCUGAUCCAGCAAUGCCGCGUGUGUGAAGAAGGCCUUCGGGUUGUAAAGCACUUUAAGUUGGGAGGAAAAGCUUGGGGUUAAUAGCCUUAAGUGUUGACGUUACCAACAGAAUAAGCACCGGCUAACUCCGUUCCAGCAGCCGCGGUAAUACGGAGGGUGCAAGCGUUAAUCGGAAUUACUGGGCGUAAAGCGCGCGUAGGCGGUUUGUUAAGUCAGAUGUGAAAUCCCCGGGCUCAACCUGGGAAUGGCAUUUGAGACUGGCAGGCUAGAGUAUGGUAGAGGUGAGUGGAAUUUCAGGUGUAGCGGUGAAAUGCGUAGAGAUCUGAAGGAACAUCAGUGGCGAAGGCGACUCACUGGGCCAUUACUGACGCUGAGGUGCGAAAGCGUGGGUAGCAAACAGG